UAUGUCAAAAUAUCCUACUGAAAUUUAUGGUGCAAUUCUCAUGCUUGGUUUCCCUGAGAAUUCUUCAGCCAUGACAUAACUUUUCCACCACACACCUUGCAUUUAUAUCAAGCCAAUGCCCGCGUGCAAACUUGUGGACCCCGCUGAUCAUAGCAUGUUCUCUUUCAUGGCAACUUGGAGAUCUACAUGCCAAAAGAACUAACACAGUCUCCUAUCAAAAGGAAACUCACCAUCUGCGAGAAUAUCAAUAUCUCAUUUACUGAUUCUGGAGUAAUUUGCUGAGCCCACUCCACCUUCUUGACAAUUUUCU
rnacentral:lncRNA from 1 species